CAAAACGUUUCUUCCAUUUCUUUAAAAUGAUUGCAGAAAAUAAGCCAAUGAAUGUUUAUGAUUCUUACAUGUUGUUCAUGAACAACUUUUAUGAAUUUUGAAGCCUAAAUACAAACUCCAGAAGUAAAAAGCUAAACAAACACACCACAUUUGCAUGAUUAAAUACUUCUUUCAGUCUUUAUUGAAAAACAUCUUCUCUGAAAGUUUGUUAGAACAGUGAAUAAACACACUGAGGCUGUGAAAACGACUAGUGCAUGAGUUUAUCAGUUCGAUGUGCUGAUUUUUAAUGUCCUCAACAGCCUUUGAUGUCCCAUUUAGCCAUAUGAUAGCAACUGGCUAUUUUAAAUGUUGUAGAAUAAAACGAUCUGUGUUUGCCACAGACAUUUUUUCAUGCAUUUAACCAUAAACACAUAGAAAAAACCAUGAUGGACCCGGAAGUGCUAAAUAGGUUGUUUCUAGGUUUUAUACAGCCUAUGGUUUUAGCCUACAUCAUCCUUGCAGCAUUGCUAAAGCACUGGUGAUUUAUUUAUGAACCCUAAUGUGUGUUGCAUGUGGCCUAAAGUAACCCCUGGUGGCCAUAGAGUGAACUGCAGUGUAUUGCUGGCAUUGGGUGGAAGGGCUUUACUGACAACAAAAACUAGUGUGAAUCUGUCAGAAAAUACAUAAACAAAUCUUCUCCGCUAGUUUGAGAAAAUGUAAACAUUUUGAUUCAUAGAAUAUUAACAGAUUAUAGGAUCCAAAGUGACUUUUCUGUUUGUACCAGUAGGCUUAUGUAAAUGUGUCUGUGUCUGUCUCAGAUGUCCAGAUGUGAGCUGACGGUGUGAACUCUUGCGAUCCGACCAGGAUACAGUCCUAAAACAUCUCUGCCCUGCCGAUGAGCACAUGAGAAACAGUGCUGAUCAAACAAACAUGAUGCACGCAGUAAAACAUACUAACAUGCUUAAAAUCAAUAUGUAUAUUAAAGCAAUUAACCAAGUUCAAACUGGCCAAAUUGUGUCUGAAACACAGUGAUAAUGUUUUAAGUUAACCUAGCUAUAUAUCAUAGCAUGGUUGGAAGAGAACUUGCAUAAAUUACAUACUUUCUUAACUAUUCAACAUCCACAUCCUGAAUGUUUAUUUUGAGAUGUUAGGAGUCACAGACUCAAAAACCUUUAGGCUUACAUGUGUGUUGGAUGUUUUUUUGUGUCUUGACUUUCCUUAAACUUGUGUAACCUCAGAGCAACUCCUGAAUAUAUUCAUUUGCUAUUAAUGAGCAUGAAAGACUUGACCCGGGUUUGAAUUAUGUUGUUAUGCCAGGGUUUCAGUGCAGGAUGGCGGGAUCAGUGGUGUUAUAUAUAACAAGUGGCCUACGCAGUGAAUGCAAUGGUAUGCAUUUCAAACAAGCCUAAGCUGGUUUGCCUGUCAAUCAGUCUGAUUUAGAACCAGGAUGAUUGACAAGCAAACCAGUUUAGGCCAGCUUGAAACGUUUUUUUAUUUUAUAACAAGAUAACAUUGAAGUAAAAUGGUGAUUAACACUGUUAUGUAGCUCCAGAAACAGAUUUAUGAAUAGGUCUGCAUGAAUUGUUGUUUCUGUGAUUCUCGUCAUUCUAGUUUCUGCUGCGGCUCCUUGUGUCUUGCUGUUUUUAUCGAAUCUCGGCUGAUAAUGUUUUACAGGUCACAACCAAAUCACACGUUUAAAUGCAAAUUCCUCAUCUGAAAACAAAUUGAAACCUGUUUUGAAAGACAAACACAAGUUAUCUUACCUGCUUGUUUUCAGUCAGCGUGUUGAUGCAUUUGUACGGCUGAACAUCAGCGUCCUCGUGAGAGCUGUGGACAGCAGUGCUUCUGUUACAGAAAUACUGACUGCAGGAUCAUUCUACACUCAUCACAUCAAUCAGUACCGUUUAUAUUCUGGGUUUAGUCUAACAGUCCUCUCAAAAAAUCCCCUUUUUAAUCUAGAAGCUGCCCCUGGUCUGAAAGCUAUUAAAUGCAACGGCUAAAAACAUAUUAAGAGCAACUAAGUUUUAUACACUUAACGUCUACAAAAUGAAUACUGUAAUAGUAAGUUCGUAUAUACUUGUCUUUUAUAUAUAAUUUGUAUUGCUAAUGCAAUUGCUAAUACCUGUAAAUAAAACAGUGUGUGUUUUUUAAUAACCUUUAUCAGUAUAUUGCAAAAUCCAUAUUUGGAGUCUUAUGGAUCUUAUAUUUUGGUAGACCAGAUAAACAUGGACUAGAUCUGGAUCUGAAU
ensembl:lncRNA